rnacentral:lncRNA from 1 species
CCGACCGCCCACGCCCGGCGCAGAGCAAGACCGAAGUCGCCGGGUGGUGGCGUCAGCUACGCGCCGCUUGCAAAGGAAAAAGCCGGUUGCUGGGGGAGUGAGGAAGAAAGGGAGGGUGCCGAACACGGAAGUGAUGGCAGCGCCUUGGGAGCAGGUGGAGGCGGUGACCGCAUCCUCUGAGACCAGAACCCAGCGCCGAGGGGUGUCAGCUUGCAGAAAGGCAUCCGCCUUAUAGGACCUACAGGAGGUGCAGGAGUGACUGGGCCUCCCUUCACCUUAGCGAGUACCCAGAGUGAUGGCGAUGGUGAUGGCGGCAGUUACUCGGACAGCCCCAGUUAAGCUGCGCUCUGAGAGAUACAUCCAGAGAGUGCCCAGAAGAAACUCCCUCCUGGAAAAACUAAAAAAGCAGUAUUUAUAACACUGGAA